UGAGUAACCUGCCCCCGACUCUGGGAUAACCCCGGGAAACCGGAGCUAAUACCGGAUACGACCCACACAGGCAUCUACGUGGGUGGAAAGAUUUAUCGGUCAGGGAUGGACUCGCGGCCUAUCAGCUUGUUGGUGAGGUAACGGCUCACCAAGGCGACGACGGGUAGCCGGCCUGAGAGGGUGACCGGCCACACUGGGACUGAGACACGGCCCAGACUCCUACGGGAGGCAG
rnacentral:rRNA from 1 species